UACGAAGGGAGCUAGCGUUGUUCGGAAUUACUGGGCGUAAAGGGCGCGUAGGCGGCUUAAUAAGUUGGGUGUGAAAUCCCAGGGCUCAACCCUGGAACGGCACCCAAGACUGUUUUGCUUGAAUUCGGUAGAGGAUGGUGGAAUUCCCAGUGUAGAGGUGAAAUUCGUAGAUAUUGGGAAGAAUAUCCGUGGCGAAGGCGGCCAUCUGGACCGACAUUGACGCUGAGGCGCGAAAGCGUGGGGAGCAAACAGG
rnacentral:rRNA from 1 species